rnacentral:tRNA from 1 species
GGGGAUGUAACUCAACGGUAGAGUGCUUGCCUAGCAUGCUUGAGAUCCUGGGUUUAAUUCUCAGCACCCCA